CCAAAGAAUAAUAUAAGAAUAAUCCAAAGAAAAUGUGAAAUGAAUUUAAUAUGGUAAUAGGAAAUAAAAAUAUAUUGGUGAUGUUCUUUCUGAAAUUGAGAGUGAAACAAUGAAUCAUUAUUAAGUCUGUGGCUUGCUUUUUUGGCUAAUUACUAGUAACAAGUACCUGGUAGUUGCUCUUUACUACUAUUAUAUGCACAUUAUAUUUCUGAAGAUGCAAUGACAAGUUGGUCUCCUUUUUUUAUUCUAUUGGAAUUAAUUUCUUAAGCCCAGCACACAAUAUGCGAUGCGAUUGCACCAAGAUUGGAUUGCAACAAAAUCACAAGGUGUGCGCCAACCGACAAUGCGCUACAACUGCAACCCGCUUUGUUGCAGUAGGAUCGCAGACCAAAUCCCAGACAUUUGAUGUGUCAAAAUUUUCUGCAAUUUUGCUAAUUUAAGCCAAUCAGAUUUGUCCUAGAUGAUGACACUAUUGCAAAUUUGCUGUGCUUCUGCAGCACAGACAACGUACACAGACAGGAAGAGGUGCCAUGAGAUGCAGUGCCCUGCAGAGCUGUUGCAAUGUGUGCACUGGCCUGCGAUGCCAUUGCACUGAUAAUUGAUGUUAUUGGAUCUCCGUGCAAUGCAACCGCUGCUCAUAGAGUGAACUGGGCUUUAUUGUUACCACAAUCGGAGCUCAUUUUAAAAUGCAAAUGUAACCUCAAAUUAGCAUGCUAUGUCCUUGCAAUUUAAUGCAUGCCUGGUGCCUGGAAUGCCAUCUUACUAUGAUGCUAUCUUGUUCUCUGUUAUUGGUUUUAGAAGAACUUAGUACAAUAAAUUUGUACCUUGCGCUUCACGUCCAAUGUUUUAUCCGUAGGGAGAUAUUUUGGAGGUGACUUUCCUAUUAGAAGCUGUUAGAAUUUUUGUUGAAUAAUGUGUACAUCAUUGUAUAAUUUGAGCGAUGCAUUUUCAAAUAUUUUGAUUAAACUAGCCAUCAAGAGAAUAUCAAGGUUAUAUUAAUUUCUUAUGAUGAUGCAUAGUCUUGUCAUAAUAUGGGCAUUUAUGGUGGAAAAAUUAAGUUUUAAUUGCAAGAGCAUGUAAAGAUAUUAAAUUACCUGCAGUAUAUAGAGAUACCAAGUGAUCAAUUUUUUCCCAAUAUGAUUUUUCAAGGUGAUUUUUUAAGUCUUUUAAAUGUAGGGAAAAUGUAUGACAUAAUUUAUAAUUUUCAGAAAAGAAAAAAAAAUCUUUCUUUUUUUUAUUUGAUUUAACAUCAAAAAUUAUUUUAAUGGGAUAUGGAUGAAUAUAGGUAUGCAUGUAAAAUCUAAAAUUCCAGUAUUAUCAACAUUGCAUGUACAGCAGUUUCAUAGUACUACUAUUGUUUUAAUCUCUGUGUGUGCUUUAAUAUUAAUAUGAUCUGGCUUCUUUUUUAUUUUGAUGAUGCAUAUAUAUGUAUGAGUCUUGAGUUUUGCAACUUAUUUAUUUGAUUUGUAUGUUUCUUGUUGCUUUCAUUUAACAUUCUCUUCAUUAUCUUUAAAUUAAUUUACAAAUUAAUUCCUGACUUAUUUUAACACACUUAAAAUGUGAAAUGAAAAAUAGCUUUCUGAUAGAUGUAUCUCUGCACAGUGUACUGUAAAGUGAUUUUUUUUUGUAUGUUCGAAACUUAGAAUAUGUUUGUUCCUUUAUGCAAUUUGAAAUUAUUAUCAAUCAGAAUGCUUUUGUGGUGAUGGUGUAAUAUUUUUCAUGUAAAUUUACUUGUGGUAGAAUGUAAAUAAUGAAUGCCAUGCAAUACCCUUAUCAUUUGCUAUCUUUUUUUUUGUAUCUCUUUUCAUAUUCUAUCUCUGUAAUAUAUGUAAGUUAGCAUUGAAUUACAGGCUUAUCCUCCAUUUUAUUAUCUCAGUCACAAUUGUCCUUUAAAUGUGUGCAUGUAAUCAUAAUUCUAAAAGUAUUAAUAUUUUUACUUUAAAAUAAUGAUUUCACUGUUAGCUAUCAGCAUUCUCUAUGAUGUGAUAUGGGGUAAAUGUAUGUAAGAGGGUAGGACAUCAGAUUCUGGAUGAAGUUGUUUUUUUAAUUUAGACUUAUUUUAAAGUUGAGCCUUUACUGACUGAGCACCUGUUAAUAUUAAAUGUAGGCUUAGUGAAUGUGCUCAUGUUCAUCAGAUUUAGUCUUGCCUGUCCAUGUUCACGCUCCACUACCGGUAUAUGCAUUCACAUUCUCCACUUGCCUGGGAGGAAUUUUGAAGGCAUAUUUGAAGCACCUUUAGGGCUACAGAUUCUAAUGACUGUUAAUAUGCACCAAUUUUCAUCAAUACACCCACCUCUGAGGGAAAAGAAAUAGUAUUGUUGGUUGUUUUUUACUCUUUGUAACAGUGAACUCAUUUGAAAUGGAUAUUUAUAUGCAGAAUAGCUAAUAUAUUUUUUAUUCCAAAUUAUUGAUCAAUGUUUAUCAAAUAAAUUGGAGGUGAAACAGAUGUAUAAUAUUAGAUAGUGCCAAAAUGUUCAUAUGUUAAGAGAGAAAGUCAUGUCAAGUUUUUAUGGGAAAAUAUGAAAUGCCGGACUUAAGCCGGGCAUACAUAGUUUUGUAUGUGUAUUUUGAAAGAGACACAAAAAUUGUAUAAAUGUCAAACGUUUCGAUAAAUUGUUGCUGACAUAACUGCUUUUAUCAGGCGAAAUCUUGACUAAAAGGCUGAUUAAAUGUGCUCUGAGCAAUUUUAGACUUGAUCAAGUUUGUUGUAUACAACUAAGUUAGUGUGUAGUUAAGUUUGAAUUCAAUACUAUAUCACAUAUAUACUUCCACUUGAUUCAUAUUAGUCAAAAUUAGCAAAAAUCAAUAUUGUCAAUUAAUGUUAUGUAGCAUUUCGUGGUUUCAAAUUAAUUUUCCAGUAUUAAUUAAUCUACCAUGUAAGUUAUUGGGCUUAGUCUUGUCAUCUAAUAUUUUCACAUUAGUAAUGAUUUAAGUUGACUUAUGAUUAUUUGCACAACUCUCUAAUUAGAAAAUCAAUAUGUAUUUCUCAAUUGUUAUUUACACAACUGUAACUUUUGCUAAUCAUUUUGCAUGUCUUAAUAUACAUUUCCAUGUAAAGGUGUAUGUAUUUAUGAAUUAUCAGUAUUAUUGAAUAUUAUAUUCCUUGAAAAGUGGAUAAACCUUUUGGACUAGAUUAUUGGACAUACAUGAAAUCUGGUCCUGUUUGCAUUAAACUUUACCUCGACAAUCACUACACGGUACAGUUGCUCUUAAAACAACUUUAAAUUAGGUUUUUCUGUGGAAGUUUGGAUAAGUAGCCAUUAUUUUAUUUUUUAUCUUUCAAUGAGUCUCCAGACUGAUCAUAGAGUUAGAAGUUGAUGUUCUUUUUGAUAUUCACCAGUGCCACCAAAACCAAGGAUUUCACUGAAAUAUUAAGAGCAAACAUUAGUGCUGGUAAUUUUCAUGAAAUUUCCCAAACUUUAAGAGAAAGUUGACCCUGAAGUUCAGUCUGUUUAUUCAAAUAAAUCAAAUGUGAAUAUUGCAUAUUUGAAAUCAGAAAAAAGGAUGAUUAUGUAAUUUAUGGUUUUCAUUAUUUGAGUGAAACAGAGUCAUCAAAAAAGUACUUUUU